rnacentral:rRNA from 1 species
UACGUAGGUGGCAAGCGUUGUCCGGAAUUAUUGGGCGUAAAGCGCGCGCAGGUGGUUUCUUAAGUCUGAUGUGAAAGCCCACGGCUCAACCGUGGAGGGUCAUUGGAAACUGGGGAACUUGAGUGCAGAAGAGGAAAGUGGAAUUCCAAGUGUAGCGGUGAAAUGCGUAGAGAUUUGGAAGGAACACCAGUGGCGAAGGCGACUUUCUGGUCUGUAAACUGACACUGAGGCGCGAAAAGCGUGGGGGAGCGAAACAAGG